UUUUCAAUUUCCAUGUACUCCUGGUGGAAGCAGGAGUAAGUUCCCCUCCUGCAGACACCUCAGCUUUCUGGGCAUAAAUGGCCCCUGUUGGCUCCUUAGUGAAGUCUAAGAGGCAGUGACCCUCCGUGGAGCUGCAGUGGUGCUUCCCUUUCUGUAGCUUCUGGGCCAUAUUUCUGAACCAGAAAUUGAGAACUAUCUGAAAAAAUCUGAGAUGUAUUGUUUCUCAAGUCUUGUCAAGCAUAUUGCACAGUUUGCUCCCCUGCCAAGUUUCUCCCUCAUAAUCCUGACAUGUUUGUCCCAAAACACACUCAUUUCCCAUAAUCAAAAGAGCCUGGUGGGGGGGGGUGGGGAAACCUGAGAACUCAAGAGGCAUAAAAAUGAAAGCUAGUUAUGUGAGACUUCAUUUAUUAUCAUGAUGAACCCAAGAGUUUCCGAUGUAUGGUUUUUGGUAGUUUUUAGAGUCCAAUGUCCUUAUUUUGAGCUUAGAGAUAUUGCAAGGUCCCUACCACAACCCCCACCACCACACACACACGAG
rnacentral:lncRNA from 1 species